AGAGUUUGAUCAUGGCUCAGAAUCAACGCUGGCGGCGUGCCUAACACAUGCAAGUCGAACGAGAAAGUCCCGCAAGGGAUGAGUAAAGUGGCGCACGGGUGAGUAACACGUGACUAACCUACCUUCGAGUGGGGAAUAACCUCGGGAAACCGGGGCUAAUACCGCAUAACAUCAUCGGGUGAAAUUCCUGCUGAUCAAAAGUUUUUUGCUUGAAGAGGGGGUCGCGGCUGAUUAGCUAGUUGGUGAGGUGACGGCUCACCAAGGCGAUGAUCAGUAGCCGGCCUGAGAGGGCGCACGGCCACACUGGAACUGAAACACGGUCCAGACUCCUACGGGAGGCAGCAGUGGGGAAUUUUGCGCAAUGGGGGAAACCCUGACGCAGCAACGCCGCGUGGAGGAUGAAGUCCCUUGGGACGUAAACUCCUUUCGAUCGGGACGAAUAAUGACGGUACCGGAAGAAGAAGCCCCGGCUAACUUCGUGCCAGCAGCCGCGGUAAUACGAGGGGGGCAAGCGUUGUUCGGAAUUAUUGGGCGUAAAGGGCGCGUAGGCGGUGCGGAAAGUCUUCAGUGAAAUCUCUGGGCUCAACUCAGAGUCUGCUGGGGAAACUCCCGUGCUUGAGUGUGGGAGAGGUGAGUGGAAUUCCCGGUGUAACGGUGAAAUGCGUAGAUAUCGGGAGGAACACCUGUGGCGAAAGCGGCUCACUGGACCACAACUGACGCUGAUGCGCGAAAGCUAGGGGAGCAAACAGGAUUAGAUACCCUAGUAGUCC
rnacentral:rRNA from 1 species